rnacentral:rRNA from 1 species
GACGAACGCUGGCGGCGUGCUUAACACAUGCAAGUCGAACGGAAAGGCCCUACUUGUUUGGGGUGCUCGAGUGGCGAACGGGUGAGUAACACGUGAGUAACCUGCCCUUGACUUUGGGAUAACUUCAGGAAACUGGGGCUAAUACCGGAUAGGAGCUCCUGCUGCAGGGUGGGGGUGGGAAAGUUGCGGCGGUUGGGGAUGGACUCGCGGCUUAUCAGCUUGUUGGUGGGGUAGUGGCUUACCAAGGCUUUGACGGGUAGCCGGCCUGAGAGGGUGACCGGCGACGUUGGGACUGAGAGAGGGCCCAGACUCCUACAGGAGGCAGCAGUGGGGAAUCUUGCACAGUGGGAGGAAGCCUGAUGCAGCAACGCCGCGUGCGGGAUGACGGCCUUCGGGUUGUAAACCGCUUCCGGCUGUGACGACGCGUGAGUGACGGUAAUGAGUAAAGAAGCACCGGCUAACUACGUG